rnacentral:lncRNA from 1 species
AAACAUUUUUUACCCCAACUUUUGAGGUCAAACUUCUCAUAUUUAUGUUGAUGUUUCACAUUUUUAUUAGACUUUUAUUUGAUGCUUUGACCUCUCUUUUAUGUGGUUCCUUUUAUUGUAUUUAUUUAAUCAAUAUUAAAUCAUUUUAAUUCAUUUUAUUUUGAUUUUUGUUGGAUACUUGUUAUUUUGAGUUGACUUGAUUGCUUGGUUGAUGUGUUCUUCCUCAUCUAAAAUCAUUGAUAGAUGGACUUGAGGUUGAUCAACC